CGUGCCGUGAUAACCUUGUAUUGCCUUCCCCCCUUGAAGCUAUUGUUCUUGCAAUCCGUGCAUUAUUGCACUGCACGUAAGUGGAAGCGUUUCGGCCAGUCGCCAGCGGUUGAAUCAGUCUGUUUUGAAACGUUGAAGUGUGAGGACGUCGGCCGCGGAUCUCAAGUAAUUUGCGUUUUGUCUUCGGGAUUGUAACUGUUUUUGAGGCUUUUACUACUGUUCGCAGACACGCAUUAUGAGCGCCGAUAGGAAGAUUACCAACCACGUAACGUUACCAACGGCGCUGGGUGCCAAACGAUGAAUCUCGUACGAAGUGACAGGUGGUGAG